GACUACAGACAUGCCACCCUGAACAAGCCUGAUGUCUGAUCUCGGAAGCUAAUCAGGGUCAGGCCUGGUUAGUACUUGGAUGGGGACCACCUAGGAAGACCAGGUGCUGUAGACG
rnacentral:rRNA from 1 species